rnacentral:rRNA from 1 species
GUGGGGAAUAUUGCACAAUGGGGGAAACCCUGAUGCAGCGACGCCGCGUGGAGGAUGACGGCCUUCGGGUUGUGAACUCCUUUUGUCAGGGACAAUGGUGAUGGUACCUGACGAAUAAGCCACGGCUAACUCUGUGCCAGCAGCCGCGGCAAGACAGAGGUGGCGAGCGUUGUUCGGAAUUACUGGGCUUAAAGGGCGCGUAGGCGGUGGUGUAAGUCUGGGGUGGAAUGCUACAGCUCAACUGUAGAGCUGCCUUGGAAACUGCAUUACUUGAGUCGGUGAGGGGAAGGCGGAAUUCCUGGUGUAGCGGUGAAAUGCGUAGAUAUCAGGAGGAAGGUCUGUGGCGAAGGCGGCCUUCUGGCACUUGACUGACGCUGAGGCGCGAAAGCGUGGGGAGCAAACAG